UACCAGCACCCCGAGUGGUCGGGACGAUUAUUGGGCCUAAAGCAUCCGUAGCCGGUUCUACAAGUCUUCCGUUAAAUCCACCUGCUUAACAGAUGGGCUGCGGAGGAUACUAUGGAGCUAGGAGGCGGGAGAGGCAAGCGGUACUUAGUGGGUAGGGGUAAAAUCCGUUGAUCCAUUGAAGACCACCAGUGGCGAAGGCGGCUUGCCAGAACGCACUCGACGGUGAGGGAUGAAAGCUGGGGGGAGCAAACCGGG
rnacentral:rRNA from 1 species